GUUUCUCUAUCCGAUAUAUCCACUUAUAUGUGUUGCAGCUGCUGCUGUCAUUGAGAGUUUCCCUGACAUAUUCCGCGACAAGUAUGCGAGUGAGGAUUCUACCAUUGUUAAGAUUUCUAAAGGACUCAGACCUGUUAUUCUUGGCUUCAUAUUGUGUGCCUCCCACAGCCGCACAUUCUCCUUAUUACAUGGUUAUUCUGC
rnacentral:misc_RNA from 1 species